UUCCUGCAAAUGAUUCACUACAGAGUAAAUCACAAGUAUAUAAGAGACAGACAUACAGAUGUUUAUGAAUUUGUUUUAGCUUAAUACUGCUUCACCUGAAAGCUUUAUUCAACAGAAUAAUGAAGAUCUUACUGGUGGCUCUUGUUUUUGCCUUGGUGUUGGCGAAUGAUCUGCCUUGAAAUGCAACCACUGUGUUCCACUGUCUGGAACCAGAUGCAUAACAACGCAAGAGACCUGAGGCUUUGGAAAAAAUGCCUGUAUAUCUGCCAGAUUCAUGUCCUCUCCCUUCACGAGCUUUCGGAGAUGCAGCAGUUUGACUGAGUGUCUGAUUCUUCAGACCAACAUUGCCAUGAAAGUCAAAUGCUGCCAGAUGGACUUCUGCAAUAAUGCUAUCAUUUAGAUCCAGUUCUCUUAAUACCAAGCAUUAUGCUAACAAUAAAUGAGUUUAAUGCAGAUUUUCCUGCAAUAAAAGUCACAUUCCACAAAAUGAGUUAUUAACAUUUGUAAUUAAUUUCAGCAUUUUCUGCAACUGUUGAAUGAAUAAAUGAAUGUUAUUAAAGGUUAUUAAAUGAUUGCCACAUACGGGCAAAAUGUUACUUCAUCAAUCUUUCUUAAAUUUCCCAAAUAAGCCAUAAAGUUAAACAUUUUCAAACACAUCAUUGAUUUUUAUGUCAAACUGGAGCAAGCUGAGUCAUUAAUGUCACAGUAUCUCAUAUGCUAUUAUAUUACUAACCUAACUCAUAAGUUAAAUAAAAAUAAAUAAAUGUUCUUAAAAAACUUUUUCUGUUGUUCUGAACUCACCGCACACCAUUCAUCUAAAUGUAACUCAAAUGACAAACACUAUUUAGGCUAUGCUGAGAACAAUUUGAACAAGAUGGUGAUGAUUAUAAAAUAUCUGGGUUGGCAAAGAAUCUUUCUUUCUUCUUUCUACUUUAUAAUGAAAACUACAUUGUACAUUAGCAUUUUACGAUAUUUUCAGAGUUAGUUUUAACUGAGUCUGGUAUUAGGAGUGCAUUUGUAGUUAUAACUUCCAUUGAGGCCUACAGAAGUUCGCCCUCUGCUGCAUUUGCUUGAGAUGCUACAAGACGGACCAAAAUAAUAAACUAUAGAACAACAUUGGAUUGACUUUUGAAUGAAUAAAUGUACUUGCUUUUUUGGAAUGGAAUCCUAGCU